GGGGUCUCCGCGGCUCCUAGACAUGCUACACUCCACUUGACAGCUCCUGGUAGAGUGCAAUCUGGAUCAGGUGACAAAAAGAUGUGGAGACUCAACACUACGAUUCACUCUUCUCCAAGUUUGUCUUUAAAAUAUUCCGUGGAGUCACCUCCAUGUAAGUCCCUUCCACUUUUGUAGAAGCGGACGUGUUGUAGCCUGUUGAUUAAUUCCAAGAUGUAGUGACAGAAAACGCAGAAUAAAAUAUGUUCUAGCGUCUUCUCAUGGUACCCAGUGGCUUUCUUCUUUAGGCGUUGGUUAAUUUCAAUGCUGUGGUUGCUGGCUUCAAGAACAGGAGCCAGUCUCCUUUUUGUUGCUGUAGAUAUUUCCACAGCCUAGUACUAGAAAGUUUUCAUCGUCCUACAGAGUUGCUCACUGUGAAAUUAUUCACCUGAUUACCUGCGGUGUUCAGCUAUCGAUUCUUUUGAAGGAAAGGAAAGACCUCGGUUCGCCUCCAGCGACUUUGAAACAGCUCGUCGAUCUUUGGACAUGGCAUUAACAAGCGGCACCAGCAACAACACUAAACAGUCGAAG
rnacentral:lncRNA from 1 species